UCUGGNUCAGCCGGGGGCGUGCGGUGGGUACGGGCUGGCUUGAGUGCGGUAGGGGAGACUGGAACUCCUGGUGUAGCGGUGGAAUGCGCAGAUAUCAGGAGGAACACCGUGGCGAAGGCGGGUCUCUGGGCCGUUACUGACGCUGAGGAGCGAAAGCGUGGGGAGCGAACAGGAUUAGAUACCCUGGUAGUCCACGCUGUAAACGUUGGGCACUAGGUGUGGGGGGCCUUUUCCGGGUUUUCCGCGCCGUAGCUAACGCAUUAAGUGCCCCGCCUGGGGAGUACGGCCGCAAGGCUAAAACUCAAAGGAAUUGACGGGGGCCCGCACAAGCGGCGGAGCAUGCGGAUUAAUUCGAUGCAACGCGAAGAACCUUACCAAGGCUUGACAUGGGCUGGAUUGCUUCGGAGACGGGGUUUCCCUUUUUGGGCUGGUUCACAGGUGGUGCAUGGUUGUCGUCAGCUCGUGUCGUGAGAUGUUGGGUUAAGUCCCGCAACGAGCGCAACCCUUGUCUCGUGUUGCCAGCACGUUGUGGUGGGGACUCGCGGGAGACUGCCGGGGUUAACUCGGAGGAAGGUGGGGAUGACGUCAAACCAUCAUGCCCCUUAUGUCUUGGGCUUCACGCAUGCUACAAUGGCCGGUACAGUGGGUUGCGAUGCUGUGAGGCGGAGCGAAUCCCUGAAAGCCGGUCUCAGUUCGGAUCGGUGUCUGCAACUCGACACCGUGAAGUUGGAGUCGCUAGUAAUCGCAGAUCAGCAGCGCUGCGGUGAAUACGUUCUCGGGCCUUGUACACACCGCCCGUCACGUCAUGAAAGCUGGCAACACCCGAAGCCCGUGGCCUUAUGGGGAG
rnacentral:rRNA from 1 species